rnacentral:rRNA from 1 species
AUUGAACGCUGGCGGCAGGCCUAACACAUGCAAGUCGAGCGGAUGAAGGGAGCUUGCUCCUGGAUUCAGCGGCGGACGGGUGAGUAAUGCCUAGGAAUCUGCCUGGUAGUGGGGGAUAACGUCCGGAAACGGGCGCUAAUACCUCAUACGUCCUGAGGUAGAAAGUGGGGGACCUUCGGACCUCACGCUAUCAGAUGAGCCUAGGUCGGAUUCGCUAGUUGGUGGGGUAAAGGCAUACCAAGGCGACGAUCCGUAACUGGUCUGAGAGGAUGAUCAGUCACCUGGGAACUGAGAAACGGUCCAGACUACUACGGGAGGCAGCAGUGAGGAAUAUUGGCUCAUGCGUGCAGGCCUGAUACAGCCCUGCGGAGUGCAUGAAGAAGGUCUUCGGAUUGUAACGCACUUUAAGUCGGGCGCACGGGCAGUAAGUUAAUACCUUCCUGUUCUGCCGAUCCCCUGACAAUAGGCACCGGCUACUCUCGUG